AGAGUUUGAUCCUGGCUCAGGAUGAACGCUGGCGGCGUGCCUAACACAUGCAAGUCGAGCGAUUUACUUCGGUAAAGAGCGGCGGACGGGUGAGUAACGCGUGGGUAACCUGCCUCAUACACAUGGAUAACAUACCGAAAGGUAUGCUAAUACAGGAUAAUAUAAGAGAUUCACAUGGAUUUCUUAUCAAAGCUCCGGCGGUAUGAGAUGGACCCGCGUCUGAUUAGCUAGUUGGUAAGGUAAUGGCUUACCAAGGCGACGAUCAGUAGCCGACCUGAGAGGGUGAUCGGCCACAUUGGAACUGAGACACGGUCCAAACUCCUACGGGAGGCAGCAGUGGGGAAUAUUGCACAAUGGGCGAAAGCCUGAUGCAGCAACGCCGCGUGAGUGAUGAAGGCCUUCGGGUCGUAAAACUCUGUCCUCAAGGAAGAUAAUGACGGUACUUGAGGAGGAAGCCCCGGCUAACUACGUGCCAGCAGCCGCGGUAAUACGUAGGGGGCUAGCGUUAUCCGGAUUUACUGGGCGUAAAGGGUGCGUAGGUGGUUUUUUAAGUCAGGAGUGAAAGGCUACGGCUCAACCGUAGUAAGCUCUUGAAACUGGAAAACUUGAGUGCAGGAGAGGAAAGUGGAAUUCCUAGUGUAGCGGUGAAAUGCGUAGAUAUUAGGAGGAACACCAGUAGCGAAGGCGGCUUUCUGGACUGUAACUGACACUGAGGCACGAAAGCGUGGGGAGCAAACAGGAUUAGAUACCCUGGUAGUCCACGCCGUAAACGAUGAGUGCUAGGUGUCGGGGGGGAACCCUCGGUGCCGCAGCUAACGCAAUAAGCACUCCACCUGGGGAGUACGAUCGCAAGAUUGAAACUCAAAGGAAUUGACG
rnacentral:rRNA from 1 species